rnacentral:rRNA from 1 species
UACGAAGGGGGCUAGCGUUGUUCGGAAUCACUGGGCGUAAAGGGCGCGUAGGCGGCUUUAUAAGUCGGGGGUGAAAGCCUGUGGCUCAACCACAGAAUUGCCUUCGAUACUGUAGAGCUUGAGACCGGAAGAGGUAAGUGGAACUGCGAGUGUAGAGGUGAAAUUCGUAGAUAUUCGCAAGAACACCAGUGGCGAAGGCGGCUUACUGGUCCGGUUCUGACGCUGAGACGCGAAAGCGUGGGUAGCAAACAGG